GUGGAAGAGGAAGAUGAAGGGGAGGAGGAAUCUCAUAUUCUCUCCGAUUUUAGUGCUUGUAUGUAUGGCUAUGAGGACAAGGCAGCAUUUCAAGAAGCAUUUGACAACAUGAGACAUAAAGUGCAUAAGCAAACUUGGUUAGAUAGCAUCUACAAGGUGAAAGAAAAAUGGGCUGAAUGUUAUAUGAGAGAUGUCUUCAGUUUGGGAGUGAGAAGUACACAACUAAGUGAGAGUUUCAACAAUGCAUUGAAGAACCAUUUGAAAUUUGAUUUCCAUAUUGUCCGAUUCUUGAAGCAUUUUGAGAGAACGGUUGAAGUAAAAAGGAGAAAGGAAUUGGAAUCUGAAUAUGAGGCAAGAAAAAAAUUGCCAAGAAUCAAGAUGUGCACACCC
rnacentral:rRNA from 1 species